GCUCCCUCCCUCCGUCUCUCUCACUCUCUCUCUCUAUCCCUCACUCCGUGCCGGCCUGGGCGGGGUUCGUGCGGGAUCUACCUCCGUCGACUCCGUAUCCUAUGCUGGCGGCGGACGGCAUGCUGGAGAUGGACGCGGUACUGCUCGUGGAGGAGGAGAUCCGGAAGCUCGACGAGAAAAGAGGAGGCGACCAUGGUGUACGGCAGGCCAGUGUUGGGUGGCAUCCAAGACGCGCCAGAGGGGCGCUAGAACGACCUCCACGUCCUCGACCUCGCCCGCUUCGCCGUCUCUGAGCACAACAAGAAGGCCGUCAGCAAUAAUCGCAGCACGUAAUUGCUCCACCUCCACUUCAAACCGCGAUGCAACGCGCCCCAGUGCCGCCUCCUCGCCGACCCCGGGGACACCGACGAAGAUGACGCCAGGGUUGCCGGCCACCCGAUGCCGCUCGCAGACAUCUAGGACUGCAAGGAGUUUCAUCAAGCUAAAGAUGGUGAUGGAUGGGUUGAACAAUCGUUUCAACCCGUUCUAUUUGGGAUGCUGCACAAGCCAGAUUUACCUCAUGCAUAUGUUUGCGCGGAAAGCUACAUAUUUGAUGUCACUGAGUGGUUCAACUGUCAGAAGAAGAGCAAGAGGCACGCACGGUGGCAGAGAAUAAACGUCUUCGGUUUGGCUGGGUGACAAAAGAUUUACAUAAACUGCUCGACAAAAUGCCUACAAGGAGCACCACCAAUUCUAGGAGUAGAUGUUGUUUGCUGCCAAACAGGCUCACAGCACGUUUGCCGUUGCGCAGUACGAGCCAAAGGUAUUAUUGUUUCUUGCAUUGUGAGCAGGUGAGUCCAAUAUACGUAAUUCAAGAUCAUGGCUCAUGUUUAGUACUGGAGUCAGAAUUUUGUUUUUUUUCUUACUGCAGCUACUUGUCAUAACUCAUGUGCUCAAUCUGUACUAUUUGUCUUGGUGUUGCAACCUAAUCAGUACGGUGACUACAGUUCUGAAAAUGUCAUGUUUAGUUUAAACUACAAAUGUAAGACAAGUUGUUCAUGCCCCUGCUGCGUUUCCCAUCUUUUGUGGAUCCAUUUAUACAUAAUAAUUAAAUUACAGCACUUUAUCGAAAUAACCGUGCCUUUUUCUUUCUUUGCACUCGUGCAUGCCUUUUUCUUAAUUUUUUUUAACUCCGGACCCGUCCCCAACAUCUUCAUUGGAGACGUAAAUGGGUGCAUCCCACGCCGCCCCUCUGGGAAUCGAGCGUGGAUGGCUCAGGGGCUUGAGCUCCUUGCUCUCCCCGUCAUAGCCAACCGAGUCCCAACUCGGAUGCCGUACAUGCCUUUUUCUUCCCAACACCUAUUUAACUAAUUAAGAUGUAUUUUCGGUGUUGUGAUCUACUCCCUUCGAUUGUAAAUGUAGGUCAUUUUAGACUUAUGCACAAGGAUUAAGAAAUAUAGAUCAAAUGACCUUGUUAUCUCUUAUUUAUUCUGCAUUAGAAAAGAUAACUCAUUAAUUUGUGAGAGUGAUAUCAUUUAUUAAACAAAGGUAAGAAGGCAACAAAAGAGAAAAAAGUGCAUAGAAGUUUGAGAAUAACUUAUAUUUAAAGAAUAGUUGAGGAGGCUAAAACGACCUAUAUUUAUAAUCAGAGAGAGUAUUUAAUAACAAAUUAAGAUGUCACGAGUACAAAGAAAGCUGUAUUUUCUUUUGUAUCAGGCGCAGGAAGCCCAUGCAUGCGCUGUCGCCUACGGCGCGGUACCGCCAGUCAGCCCACGACACAGGAGCGACAAACAACAGACAGGUAGACACGCCUCCCCUUCCCUGUCUCCAUGUCUCCGAUGAUCCCAUCAACCACCGUAAUUAUACUCCUUGCCUAAUUCUUGUCCUCCUUCGCUGCACCACUUAUCAGUGGAAAUUUUGAAAUCGUGCUGAUGCCACUUACUGCUGGUGGAGGAGCUGCUACUUAUCAGUGGAAAUUUUAAACUUGCACGCACAUGAUGGUCAUGCUAAUUUUUUAUUAGCUCCAUGCCUCACACAGGAAGUUUUGCAUGGUUUUGGAUAGAGUCUGUAGUGAUUCAGAGUUAAAUAAUUUUCUUAGGGAUUUUACAUUUUUUUCAUUCUGAUAUAAUUUUGCAUGGGUUUUGUCUUUCACCUGAUCAUAGGGUUGAACGUUGCUAUCCUAAAUCUGUGGACGAUGGCUCACCCUGAGUUGCCUUCGAGGAAAAAAAAUGUACUCUAUUGAUAUAUUGGGCGUUGGAUUUUAGAGCCGUGCGACGCACGGGCACUAGUAAAGAGCGUCAAUUCUAUGGAACGUCGCCAUUUGGUUGGUUGCCGUCCGAUGGGAGCUGGCGAUGACACAGAGCUGUCCGAUUCUUCGGUUGAGUUCGCUCGCCCAUUCGAGAAGGCGCUGCCGCCUACUGCGCUCUUUGCCGCCACGUUGAGAGGCCCGGCAGCG